GUGCCGGCCGCCGCGGUAAUACCGGCAGCCCGAGUGAUGGCCGAUCCUAUUGGGCCUAAAGCGUCCGUAGCUGGCUGCGCAAGUCCGUCGGGAAAUCCAUCAGCCCAACUGAUGGGCGUCCGGCGGAAACUGCACGGCUUGGGACCGGAAGGCUCGAGAGGUACGUCCGGGGUAGGAGUGAAAUCCCGUAAUCCCGGACGGACUACCGAUGGCGAAAGCACUCUGAGAAGACGGCUUCGACAGUGAGGGACGAAAGCUCGGGUCUCAAACCGGAUUAGAAACCCCUGUAGUCC
rnacentral:rRNA from 1 species